rnacentral:rRNA from 1 species
UACGUAGGGGCAAGCGUUGUCCGGAAUUAUUGGGCGUAAAGAGCGUGUAGGCGGUCCGGUAAGUCAGCUGUGAAAGUCAAGGGCUCAACCCUUGAAAGCCGGUUGAUACUGUCGGGCUAGAGUCCGGAAGAGGCGAGUGGAAUUCCCGGUGUAGCGGUGAAAUGCGCAGAUAUCAGGAGGAACACCGGUGGCGAAGGCGGGAUCCUGGGCCAGUACUGACGCUGAGGCACGAAGGCCAGGGGAGCAAACGGG